AUUGAACGCUGGCGGCAUGCUUUACACAUGCAAGUCGAGCGGCAGCGCGGGGGCAACCCUGGCGGCGAGCGGCGAACGGGUGAGGAAUACAUCGGAACGUACCCGGAAGUGGGGGAUAACGCCGCGAAAGCGGCGCUAAUACCGCAUAUUCUGUGUGCAGGAAAGUGGGGGACCCGCAAGGGCCUCACGCUUUUGGAGCGGCCGGUGUCCGAUUAGCUAGUUGGUGGGGUAAAGGCCUACCAAGGCGACGAUCGGUAGCUGGUCUGAGAGGAUGAUCAGCCACACUGGGACUGAGACACGGCCCAGACUCCUACGGGAGGCAGCGGUGGGGAAUUUUGGACAAUGGGGGCAACCCUGAUCCAGCCAUGCCGCGUGCGGGAAGAAGGCCUUCGGGUUGUAAACCGCUUUUAGCCGGGAAGAAAAGGGCAGGGUGAAUAACUCUGUCAUUUGACGGUACCGGCGGAAUAAGCACCGGCUAACUACGUGCCAGCCGCCGCGGUAAAAC
rnacentral:rRNA from 1 species